rnacentral:lncRNA from 1 species
UCAAAUAUAAAAAAAAUAUAAAUGUUAAGAUUUUUUCAAUCGAUUAACCUAAAUAAAAAUGCCAUAUUAAAUAAAUUAAUUUUAUAAUAAAUUCUUAUUAAUUUUUUAGAAUCAUUUUUUGAGUAAUGUUUAAAUUAAUUUUGUUUAUUCACAAAAUAUAUGUUUUAACUAUAAUAACAAAACACUAGUAAAGUAAAAAACACCAUUCCUAUUAAAAAAAAAAAAAAAAAAAAAGAAAAGUCAAAAACACCAUUGAGUAAUGCAUGAGCAUGUGAAAGGAGUAUGUGCAGUGAGUGCAUGGCUACCCUAUGCAAUGAUCCUCUUCUUGACAUCUUUUGACUUGUGGGAUGUUAGAAGAAUGAUCCUUAUUAAAUAUCAAUCCUUUGUAUUUUUAUCCAUCGAAGAGCAGAUUACGGGAAUUCUUCAGGGGGAGAAAUUCCCGAGCUGGCAAUUUCAAGACUGAUCUCAGGCUCAGCAACAACCACACUCAUCAAUCAAGUAUCGUUAGAAGACCUACACAUGCAGAAGCUUCAGUUUUUGGUAUCUGCUAUUUUCUUUUAUCCUAUUUUUCUAUUUUUGAGAUUUUGAAAGAAAUUGAAAAUACUCUAGAAAAAGUGCGAUAAUAAUACUCAAGUUUCUUUUUUUUUUUUCGCAAUGUCAUAAUAAACCUUUCUAUAGCAUAUGGCAUAUCAACAUCAUAGAGAGGUUUUAUUAUGAUAUAUGAAUAUGUUUCUCUAAUUUCAAAGAAAAAAAUGUUUAUCUAAUUAGAUCAUAUGUAACAUUAUAGAAUUUGAUGACAUAUUCAUAGUUUGAUCCGCUUUGAGAAAAAUUGACUCUGUUAACAUAUUCUAAUUGACUAUAUUCUUCAUUUAAUAGACUUAAAUUCGAGUCUUGAUGCUUUUAACAUCUUGCUUAAAAAAGCAACAACAAAUUGCAAACCACAAAAUUUACCAGUGCCAUCCUUAAAUAGCUUUGGGUGGGUAUAUACAUCAGAUAAGAUUGCAUUCAACAAACAAGAGAGAGAUUCAGGAAGUAAUCUUCUUACCAAAUGCUAUACAGAACAAAGAAGAGCACAAGUAGAAGUAAUGUUCCGAGGCCAUAUCCUUCAGAAUCAUGGCCAUAGCUACUGCUUCGCUGCCUUGUUGAACAACACAUGCCAAGUCUAGGACACAACGUAGAAAUCAAGUGUAAAAUCACUAACAAUAGAAGAGGAAGCACCAUAAUAAAGGAGAAAGAUGCACCUUCAUCUUCACCUGCUUCAAAUAGAGGCACCACAUAUUCCAUUAGCAUAGGACCAAAGACUAUCAGCCCUAGGAUACCCACCAUUAGAGAAGGUACUACUGGGGAUGGCCCUCUAUUCCCCAUUUCCUGCUCUGCAAUCUCUACCUUCAGUGACCCUUUCUCAGGAUAAAAGAGAAUAAAAAGUGUGGUUGGGUGCUGCAAUUAGAGAUGACUAUCUGAUUCUUUUCUUUGGUUUUGUGCGACUAGUUAACCUAUAAAGGCAACUUGUUUAUGAAAAUUUUUAAUAAAUUUAUUUUAUAUAAUCAAGGAUUAGAUUCAAGGCCUACCUCAACUAACAAAUUCCAAAGGCAAAAGAAACAAGGGUAUACUACAAGGACAUGAGACAUAGUAUAAGUUUAGAUUUCAACAAAUUAAGUAGCAAUGAAAAUGACAUCUAUUUGUUUUCAUUAUCUUCAGCAAGAGAAGGGUAUCCAAU